rnacentral:snRNA from 1 species
GUGCUCACUUUGGCAGUACAUAUACUAAAACUGGAAUGAUACAGAGAAGAUUAGCAAGGCGCCUGCACAAGGGUGACAUGUUAAUUUGUGGAGUGUUCCUUAUUUUU